rnacentral:RNase_P_RNA from 2 species
AGAGCUUGAAAGAUAAUCGCUUGGCUCAGCCAAGAGGAAAGUCCGGGCAGCAUAGAACGCAGUAGUCGUUAAUGGCGACCGUUCGAAAAUUUAGACGGCUUCGGCCUAAAAAAUUGAAGAAUAGGGAAAGUACCACAGAGACAAUACCGCCUUCGGGCAAGGGUGAAAAGUGUAAGGUAAGAGCUUACGGCAAUCCAUGGUGACAUGGUUGAUGGCAAACCCUACUGGCUGCAAGGAGUGCUACUAAACUUUGGUUCGAAGAUGCACGCUUACCGCUUGAAUAUUUUGGCAACAAAAUAUCUAGAUAGAUGAUUAUCGGCUAAAAAGGGAAGAAACUUUUAUUGUGGUUUUACUUGUGAUAAAAGUAUUUGCACCUUUUAGUUACAAAACCCGGCUUACUGAUAGCUUAAAAA